GGACCUCAGGCUGAGGUACAAGAUGCCCCAAUAAGGAAAAGGGUCUAAUAAUCCUCUCCCUCCAGAUCCAAGGACGGCCAACGAAGAUGGCGAUGCUGGUUUGUCAACUUUCUGAGAGCCUGAAGCUUGAGCCAAGAAAAGCUUGAAAUUGAGGGGAAGCAGAUGCAGACUAAAGAGGUAGUUCCUGCAGCUAGAAGAAGCAGAAUUGGAAAUUCAACCCUGCUUCUUAGGCCUGGCGCUGUAUCUGAGUGUUUUGCUAGACUGAAAUGAGAAGGUUCUAUCAAGUACAUGGUACACAAUGAGUUGUUAAUAAAGUUUGGAUGAAUGAAUGACCUCAUGAAUGAAGGGUGUCUCCUGCAGAAGUGAUAUCUGAGCCUGAACCGAGGAAGGCACUGUCAGGGAGCUUGGUCUAGAUAAGCAGAAAGAGGACCCGAGGAAGCUGCAAGAACUAUCUUCACACACGUGAGAGGUGUCACGCAGAGGAGAUUGCAGAACAAAAUUGUGCCUCUUCAAGUCUUGGGAGGCCAGUUUCUUUAACAAAGAAGAAUCUCAGAGCUGUCUAAACAUAAAAGGAGUUACUUUUAAAAAAUAUUUAUUUAUUUGGCUGCUCUGGGUCUUAGUUGCUGCACACAGGAUCUUCUGUUGCAGGACGUGAGAACUUCAGUGGCUGUAUGUGGGAUCUAUUUCCCUGACAAGGGAUCGAACCUGGGCCCUCUGCAGUGAGAGUGAGGAGUCUUAGAGGCACUGAUGGCAAACACCAUCCAAUCAUCUCAGCCAGAGGCAGCAUGAACAUCUAGCAGGAAUGGAGAAGAAAGGAACCUUUCAUUAGAUUGAGGCAGAAGGAGGAGGUUACUGACGCAUGUGGCUGAAGGGCAGGCAUGCAGAAGGGACUCAAUAUUUGUUGAACAAAUGAAUAACAGUCUUCUAAUCAUCAAAGACUCAUUCUGUAAAUAGCUAUUAAAAGUUUUUAUACAUUAGGUCUGUACUCAACUGAAGAGGUUGCAUCAGUGAAAAGGAUGACUCAGCCCUCAUCAACAGCGGGGAGUGUACUAUAUAGGUUGGAAGCCCAAGAUACAUCCACACUGCCUGGGCUCAAAACCCAGCUCUGCCGAUUCCUGUAUGCCUGUGUGCCUCAGUCUCCUCAGCUGUAAAAUGGGGAUAAAAUAGCAGCCAUGUUAAGGGAUUAUUUUGACAAUUAAAUGAAUUAAUACUUGACACAUCUUAUUGAUUCAAGUAUUAAUGAUUAUCACGGUGCAUAUCUUCCAGCAAGGGCUACAGAGAAGUUACUGUUAUGUGAAGGAUGCUCUGAGGAGUAUGAACUGAAAUAUGUUUCUGCCCCAGGUGACUGAUUAGCUGACCACCCCUAAUCCAUCUCUGCUGAUGGGGGCUGAGCAGAGUGUCACGAGGACACCUCCAAGGGAGCCUAGCCCUGACUUGGAGGUGGAUUCUUUACCAUCUGAACCACCAGGGAAGCUCAAGAAUACUGGAGUGUGUUGUCAUUCCCUUCUCCAGGGUAUCUUCCUGAUACAGGAAUCAAACUGGGGUCUCCUGCAUUGUAGGUGGAUUCUUUAUCAGCUGAGUUACCAGAGAGAGAUGUGACAGUGUAUUGAUGUUUUCAAACUGGUACUGGAAGAAGACUCUUGAGAGUCCCUUGUACAGUCCCUUGGAUCAAACCAGUCAAUCCUAAAGGAAAUCAACUUUUCGGAAAUCAAAGAAUAUUCAUGCAAGGACUGAUGCUGAAGCUCCAAUACUUUGGCCACCUGAUGUGAAGAGUCGACUCAUCAGAAAAGACCCUGAUGCUGGGAAAAACUGAAGAUGUCUCCUUUUGGGAGGAAUCAUCAAGAAGGGAAGUGCUUCCCCUUAACAUAGCAUGUUCUAUGGCCCCACACUGUUUUCGAAGAGUAGACAGAGGGCUUCCCUGGCAGUCCAGUGGUUGGGAGU
ensembl:lncRNA